AAGAAGUUAACCCCUGAUGGGCAGAAAUUGUGGUUUAAGAUGGCUUUUUACUGUAUUCCAGAAUGGGUUAAUUUUUUCCUAACUACUUGUGUCUUUCCUCUUGCUUUAUGCAGCCUUGCCUUUACAGGCAAGUGAUAACUUUAGGGUCAAUUACUCUGUUAUCCAAUGAGUGAUAAGACAUCAGUGUUGAUUUUUCUGUCUGUAAGGGAUUUUCAUGGGAAAGAAGAAAACCCAUCAUGUCAGGUGAUUCUUCAAAGGACCCACUCCUGCUCCCUGCAAAGAUUAACUGAUUGACUCUGCUGAAGUCACAUAAGUGCUGAUAAUACCAAGAAUUUGGCCUGCACUUUAUCAGCAGCCUUCAAAUCUCAUUACCAGGUGUGAACACAGGCUCAGAGAAGCCCUGCUGUCACUGCAGCACGCUUAUUUUGAAGAUAAGUGUGAAUCAGCAUGCUGUUCUUAUAGGCAAAGAAGUAGCAGCAAGAAAUCUCAGACUAUGCAAGAGGAUCAUGACCUGGCAAUCAGAGGAUUUCUGCACUGAUCCAAGCCAGAAAAAUGCUACUUUGCUUGGUGGACACUUCCCAUGGAUUUCUUACACAUCCACAUCCAAGGAGUGGAUCUAUCUGUCACGCACACCAAGCUGCUAACGCCCGUGUGGUCUUGGUAGGAAAAUGCAAAGGAAAUCCAAAAGUGCUGGCCUUGACUCCCUUCCUCACUGUCCUUCCAUACCUGCUCUGCCUUGGCUUUGUGCCCUGCUCCCUCCCUAGCGCUCUUAUCUCCCACUGAACCUGAGAAACAAAUGCUUGUGGAAGCUAAGUCGUCCCCAGCUGUUCGCUCUGUUCCUGAGCUCCCUUCCUCCCUCUCAUUCCUUUUGGAUCUGUUUCUAAACUUUUUGGGGCAGCAACUACUUUUCUGCAUGCAACAUCAAUGGACACUGUUCUUGGCUGGCCUCAAGGCACAACUGGAAUAAAUGUGAAUAACAACAACAGUGACAAAAAG
ensembl:lncRNA